AGGAAAACGCAUCUUGUAAUUGGCUACCAAAGCCACCCGUUCCAAAAGUGGCCCGUUCGUUCAAAAUAUCAUUGGGGGUGUAUAUUUGCUGACACUGAUCCAACCAAAAACAAAACAAUCAUAAAAACAAAAAGAAAAUAAAUUUGUGUCUUGGAAAAUUUUUCAGUUUUUAUUUAAUCGUUUGAUCAAACUGUGUAAGAGAUUGUUCCGAGUUUUAUCCCGGUAGUGUCUUUUCGUCGGUGAUAGCUGGAAGUAAAUGAGGACUGCAAGCUUCCAAAAGUUUUACUACGUUAAAACUCAUCACAGACCAUUCGAAAAAGUCUGUAUCGAUGGAUUGGACGCCGAGAAAACAACCGGAUGCGGGUGAUCGUAGUUGGGAUUCAAGAUUAUUUUUUAUUUAGAAGUAAAAUCAGAAAAAAUCGCUUCCUGCUGUGCAAAAUUCUAGUUUAGCUUAUUGUAAGUCUUAGUUUUAUUCAUGCUAUGAUUAAUUGAAUUUCUACGAUCCGGUUACAACAGGUGGCCACGAAGAAAAACAAGUUCAACCAAUUAUUGCAUACUUUUUUCACUAAAUCGGUUGUUCUUGGAAAACAUGUAUCAAACUAUGGUUUAAAAGUACCAUCGGAAGGGAUCCCGCAAAUUACUUUGCAGAAUCCAAGAAGUCGGCCCGAGACUUAAAAACUUGAAAUCGAAUUGACUGCUCCAUUCAAGCGUUCUUCGGUUGAGAAAACUCCUUGAGUUCAAUUUAUAACAGCUGCGGGAUUGCACUCGCUACAGUGUUGUAAUCACAAUUGUGAUCUUCGUCUGGGACAUCAUGUGAACGAACAGUUUUGAAGAUUGAAUCAAAUGGAAAUCCCGGAAUCUAGAAUCGCUACCUGUUGGUAAUGAAAUGGGUGAGUUUGCUUUUCUAAUGUUAUUGUGUUUAUCAUGAUUUUAUUUUGUUUAAUUGCACACAAUCACUAUAAAAACUACACCUGGUUUUGACACUAUUCAAUCCUAACUUUAAAACAGAUUCUACUGAUAAGCAGCUUGAACUUCAAAUUAUAAAUAAUUGUAUGUAAACGAAUGCACCUUGAAUAAGUUUGUAAAAUAUAGUUUUGUGUGAUUAUUCUUUAUGUUUUACAGACGAAUAAGUGCCUAAACUCUUUUUGUGUUCCUUUUUUGCAGCAAUUUCAUGAGACAAGCAUGGCCCAGUGGCAUACAACAUAGAAUUUUCGUUCGAGGUGGUCGAGGUCGUUGACUUUGGGGCAUCAUCUGCAUAUGCUGCUGUGGGCAAAUGUAUUCCUUUCGUUGGCCAGCCUGGUGAUCAUCGUGCAGUUCCGCUGUCUGAACAACGAGAUACAAAGGAAGUUCAAGAAGCACCGUAACUACCCGUGGGUGCUAGACAACAUGGAAAAUAGCUGUCCCCUAGCGACGGCCGAAGAUCUGAAUUCUAACAACGGUGUCAUAUGCUUGGAGAAGAUGGAAACCGCCCGGAAGCUGCCCUGUUCGCAUCUGUUUCAUAACUCAUGCCUUCAAUCUUGGUUGGAACGGGACACCAGUUGGCCGACGUGUCAGCUCGGGUUAAGCGUUAACAAUGCCAAUGUGGCCAAUAUUUUGCAGAAUGAAAUCCGCAUCGAUGACCCGGAACCGGUUGACGGGUUGGACCGGGACGAACGGUAAUCCGGUUUCUUGGAAAACGGCGGCUGAAAAUCAUACCUAGCAAGUCAGGAUCAUGGCCCGGCACGUCCAGGAGAUGUUCCCCCGAUUUCCAAUGUCUACGGUCAUUGCCGAUCUGAGCAUAUCGCGAUCGAUCGAAGUCACAAUUGAUCCUGGAAGGGCGCUUUCCAGCUAGCAUUCUCGUCAGCAGCAUUCACCAUCAUCAUCAUCAUCAUCGGUGGCUUCCACGCCCAGCUCCGACAGUUCCUCCGCGCCGCUGCCAAAAGCUUUUCUCAAUAACAAAGAUAAUUAGAAACUUACAUAGCCAAUCGAUUCCAAUGAUAACGCAUUUUGGGAACAGUUCUGGUGCGAGCAUAGCUCUCCAGUUCAAGAUGUGUUUGCGCUGAUUUCAUCGAAUGAGAUACGGAAAGUUCAGGAUGUUAAGCCAGCGAAUUUGGCAACUUAAUGCUACAAAGCAACAGAACGAUUGGUCCGAGCGGUGGACAACAGUUGUCGUACCCAGGGGAAACAGCAAACGGUGAUAAACUCUAUCCGUUUGCUUAAUCGAACAUUACCAUGUAUUUUUGAGGAUGUGCAGUGGAAAGAUUUCUUCUGGUCUUCACUUCUGGCUAAUGAUAAAGAAAACGGAGACACUCCAUUGGCGUAUGUUGAAUGCCAUAGGCGACUUAUUGUUCUGUCCCGAAUUUACAUUUGUGGGAUUGCGAAAAUCGGGUCGGAAAAGGUCGAAGAACUCAACUUUAUCGAUAGUUGCGAAUACAUAUGGGAAUCAGGCGUAGGAUUUGCUCAGUCGCCUCCCAGGAAUGGAAACAUGGAUGCUCGUCGUACCGAACUUGAUUGAUGCUAAAUUGUUUUAGCGAAACAAUGUAUCGAGCGCGAAUAUGCGUGACAAGCCCAACAAAUGGAUUGUACAUUUUACAAGUGCUGGCAACCGACAUGCAUUUCCUUUGUCCACUUCACUCCUCAACACGGUUUGCGCUUAAGAUACAGUUGACAUGAGAGUGCCCUACAAUCAUCUGCUGUUUACCGACACGUUGGAACCGCUGGUGGAAUUUUGCUUGCAGAACCUCAUUGUGAUACUUGAUCAAGACAUCUCGAGCAACACGCCUACCCAAACCACGUCCUAUUCACAUGACAAGCAAGAAAGUAUCCGGGUGAUCACAUCCGGAACUCACGGUUUCCACUUACCGGUUUGACAACCGUCUUCGGAAUGGGUUCAAUCCUGGCGCUCCAAGCUGCCACUGCAGACCAUAAUGCGGUUGCUUCAGGUUCUGGUGCCCCAGGUCGAAAAGAUCUGCAUCGAUAAAGGGCUUACCGAUGAGUCGGAGAUUUUCAAGUUCCUGCAGCAUGGAACAUUAGUUGGAUUGCUGCCGGUACCGCAUCCGAUUUUGAUAAGGAAGUUCCAAGCCAACAGUGGCCCGACCCCGAUAGCAAAAUUUGGAACACAGCGGAAGAUUUAAUCCAUGUUGAUAAGAUGAAUGGGAGUUGAAACACUUGCCCUCUCUUCUGCAGAACAAUCGCAACAUCCGAUUGACAGGGAAAGUAUCACAAUUUGCCAUUAUAAUAGCUGAUACUUUCAAUAGGGCAUAAUUCUUGUGGCUGGGUAGUUAGUUAGUUGGUUUAGUUUAAUAGUAUUAAAAAAGAGAAAAAGUGUAAGAAGUAUUGCGAUGUUAGGUAAAGGUUAUGGCAUUCGCCUCCCCAAUGCUCUAGUAAGUUUGUAUUUGCGGUUUAUGAAUUUCGUUCGCUUAUUCUUUGAUCAAGCAUUUUACAAGAACUAUAGAGGCUCAUUGGAUGGGAACGGUCUUAUUGAAGAAUAUGAUAUUUCUUUGGUAAGACGCUUUUUGCUUUUUUUUAUUUAAUCAUUCACUUUUGGCAGAUCUUCACAUUUUUCGGUUAGGGAUGGAUAUAGAUAGUAAAAUGUAUGAUAUUGAAAAACAAUAAUGAGUAGGUAGUCCAGAUAACUGAUUUCGGGCAUUUAAAAAUAGGCAAACGGUAUAUUUUAAUAGAACCCCUAAGUAGACUUAGUAUAGUUUGUCAGAGAGGCUGACCACAAUAAGUGAUGAGGUUUAAGAAGAACAGCAUUGUGCAUUUCCUGAUCUGUUCCUGUUCUGUAUACGAUAUUUAAGCUAGAUUUAUUAUUAGUUUGGGCUAGGCUUCUUAUAUUAUAUUGAUAGAUAAUAUGAACUAAUAUCCUAUUUUUCUAUUCCUUUUUUCUCUUUUUUCUCUUUUGUAUUCCUUUUAAUGUUACCUUCGGAGGAUGACGAAAGAGCUUCGAGUGGAAAACUCGAACAACCUUCAAGCCAUCUCCUCACAACAUCAGACCCCGAAGAUGGUUUCGCAUGGUGUGGCAGUCAUCCCAAGGAUUUAAUCAAAACCUGAAAUUAGACAAAUUGCUCAAAAAGAAGAAGCUUGCGCCAGACAUCGCAAUGCCUUAAGCAGGAGAGGCAGCAAAAGAAUCAAUUAGAAGAAAAAAAUAUGAAAAAUAAAACAAA